UACGGGGGGAGCAAGCGUUGUUCGGAUUUACUGGGCGUAAAGGGCGCGUAGGCGGUCGUGACAAGUCACUUGUGAAAUCUCCGGGCUUAACUCGGAACGGUCAAGUGAUACUGUCGGACUAGAGUACAGAAGGGGCAACUGGAAUUCUCGGUGUAGCGGUGAAAUGCGUAGAGAUCGGGCGGAACACCAGCGGCGAAGGCGGCAUCCUGGUCCUGUUCUGACGCUGAGGCGCGAGAGCGUGGGGAGCGAACUGG
rnacentral:rRNA from 1 species